GGAUACUGCUAUCGGGAUACGGCUAAGUCAUGCCAGUCACUGGAGUAAUCCAGGGCAUACCGCUGAGUAACACGUAGUUAAUCUGCCUUUAGGUCAGGAAUAACCUCGGGAAACUGAGGGUAAUACCUGAUAGGGGAUUUUGUCUGGAACGAUAUUUCCCUGAAAGGCAACGCCUAAAGAUGAGACUGCGGUGGAUUAGGUUGAUGUUAGGGCAACGGCCUAACAUGCCUGUAAUCUAUAGGGGCCAUGAGAGUGGGAGCCCCCAGAUGGGUUCUGAGACAGCAACCCAGGCCCUACGGGGCGCAGCAGAUACGAAAACUUCGCAAUGCACGAAAGUGUGACGAGGGAAUCCCGAGUGCCAGCACACAGUGUUGGCUUUUGCCAAGCGUAAAUAACUUGGCGAAUAAGUGGUGGGUAAUACAGUUGCCAGCCGCCGCGGUAAUAACUGAGCCACAAGUAGUAUCCGCUUAUAUUGGGUUUAAAGCGUUCGUAGCCGGACGGAUAAGUUCCCUGUGAAAUCCCAUGGAAAACUGUGGGGCGUGCGGAGAAUACUAUUCGUCUUGAGACCGGGGGGAGAUAGAGGUACUCCUAGGGUAGGGGUUAAAUGUAUGUUAGCAUUCAAUUGUUAGCUUACUAACAAUCCUGUAAUCCUGGGGGGACCACCUGUGGCGUAGGCGUCUAUCUAAAACGGAUCUGACGGUGAGGAACGAAAGCUAGGGGAGCGACCCGGAUUAGAUACCCGGUUAGUCCUAGCCGUAAACGAUGCUCGCUAGGUAUUGGGCUUUCCACGAGAUUGUCCAGUGCCACAGGGUAACCGUUAAGCGAGCCACCUGGGAAGUACGGUCGCAAGGCUAAAACUUAAAGGAAUUGGCGGGGGAGCACCACAAGGGGUGCGGCCUGCGGUUUAAUUGGAUUCCACUCCGGAAACCUUACCAGAGGCGACAGCAGAAUGAGGGUCAGUCUGAAGGGCUUACCUAACGCGCUGAGAGGUGUUGCAUGGCCGACGUCAGCUCGUGCUGUGAAGUGUCCAGUUAAGUCUGGUAACGAGCGAGACCCGUGCCAUAUGUUGCUAUUUUUCCCUCCGGGGGAAAAGCACUCAUAUGGGACCGCCCGCGAUAAGUGGGAGGAAGGUGCGGGCUACGUUAGGUCAGUAUGGCCUGAAUCUUCUGGGCUACACGCGGGCAACAAUGGCAAGGACAAUGAGAUGCGACUCCGAAAGGAGAAGCAAACCCCCUAAACCUUGUCUUAGUACUGAUCGAGGAUUGCAACUCAUCCUCGUGAUGCCGGAAUCCCUAGUAAUCGAAGGUUAUCAAACUUCGGUGAAUACGUCCCUGCUCCUUGCACACAC
rnacentral:rRNA from 1 species